UCCUCGGUAGUAUAGUGGUCAGUAUCCCCGCCUGUCACGCAGGGAGACCGAGUUCGAUUCCCCGCCGAGUAU
rnacentral:tRNA from 1 species